GACGAACGCUGGCGGCGUGCUUAACACAUGCAAGUCGAACGGAAAGGCCCUGCUUUUGUGGGGUGCUCGAGUGGCGAACGGGUGAGUAACACGUGAGUAACCUGCCCUUGACUUUGGGAUAACUUCAGGAAACUGGGGCUAAUACCGGAUAGGAGCUCCUGCUGCAUGGUGGGGGUUGGAAAGUUUCGGCGGUUGGGGAUGGACUCGCGGCUUAUCAGCUUGUUGGUGGGGUAGUGGCUUACCAAGGCUUUGACCGGUAGCCGGCCUGAGAGGGUGACCGGCCACAUUGGGACUGAGAUACGGCCCAGACUCCUACGGGAGGCAGCAGUGGGGAAUAUUGCACAAUGGGCGGAAGCCUGAUGCAGCAACGCCGCGUGCGGGAUGACGGCCUUCGGGUUGUAACCCGCUUUCGCCUGUGACGAAGCGUGAGUGACGGUAAUGGGUAAAGAAGCACCGGCUAACUACGUG
rnacentral:rRNA from 1 species